rnacentral:rRNA from 1 species
UACGUAGGGGGCGAGCGUUGUCCGAAGUUACUGGGCGUAAAGCGCGCGUAGGCGGUUUAUUAAGUCUGAGGUGAAAGGUUCAGCGCUCAACGCGAACAGUGCCUUGGAUACUGGUAGACUUGUAGUGUGGCAGAGGAGUAUGGAAUUCCGAUGGUGUAGCGGUGAAAUGCGUAGAUAUCAGGAGGAAUACCGAUGGCGAAGGCAGUACUCUGGGCUAACACUGACGCUGAGGUGCGAAAGCGCGGGGAGCAAACGGG